rnacentral:hammerhead_ribozyme from 1 species
CACUUGCUGACGAGUGCCAAAUAACACGAAACAUAGGUCCAAGGC